rnacentral:lncRNA from 10 species
GCUGAGCACAAUGUAGGCGCUCUAAGACUAAUGAAAGAAUCAAAUCAGGUGUGUGAGUGAUUCAGCAAGAAGUUGAAUUAGAGCCAGCUGCUUCGUCUGAGUUGGGUUAAGUCAGAGGGGGAGGGUUGAUAUUGGGUAAUCAGAACAAAACGAGCUGGAGGGCCAGCCACCUGCUUAGUCGGAGUAAGAAUGCCUGCAGAGACCUGGACCAGAGUGGGCAGAAUGGAGGGCCUAAAUAGUGUUCCUUGGAGAGAAAAUUACCCUGGGAAUGAAUAAACAAGAGCAAUGCAAAUGUUUCUUUUACAUUAGAUUCUUGCAGCCCUGGAAAUCCUAAAUAAUAAUCAUGGCAAUACUACAUUUAUAAGACUAAAAGAUAGGAACUCAAGAAAAAUUUGGUCAUAGCAGUUGGUGAAAAAGUGAAUUUAAGAGAAGUGACAAAAAGAACUACUUGGGAGUGCUGAUAGUUGUUUUAAUAGGAACAACUUUGGUUCAACUUUAACUGCAAAUUGCCUGUUUUCAGAAGCAGCUCAAAUAUCAGAUCAAGUUAAUUUAGUUGGACUCCUGUCCCAUGCUUGAAAGUUUCUUCAUUGGAAAAGAUAUCCACGACUGUUACAGAUGCUUCGUGGAGGUUCAAAAAGACUACAGAUCAAGGCCAGUGACCUUCUACACAUGGUGGACACUCCAGCCUCUGCUCAAUCUCCAUCCACACUUAAAGGAAAUAGCCAACUCUUGGCCAACCUUCAGGCCUGGGAAGAGGCUCAAGCAGACACUGAAGACGGACUUAAGGCUGAAUAUGGCUGGAAUACUGCCCAAAUGAACUGACCAUUUUCCCAGUACUUUCCAUGACCAAGGACCAGGGUAUAUACACCAGACAACAGAGCCGUUUCAUUUUGGGGGCUCGUUUGGGAUCAGAAUCAGAAUGGAAGGUAGAAACAUCAGAGUGGCUAUACGAUGUCCGGAAGUGGUGGGUUCUUGGUCUCACUGACUUCAAAAAUGAAGACGAAGACGUGGACUCUGGCGGUGAGUGUUACAGUUCUUAAAGGCGGUGUGUCCGGAGUUCAUUCCUUAUAAUGUUGGGAGUUUCUUCCUUAUGGUGGGUUUGUGGUCUCGCUGGCUCCGGAGUGAAGCUGCAGACCUUCGCGGUGAGUGUUACAGCUCUUAAGGCGGCACGUCUGGAGUUGCUGGAUCCUCCCGGUGCGUUUGUGGUCUCGCUGACUUCAGGACUGAAGCUGCAAACCUUUGCCGUGAGUGUUACAGCUUAUAAAAGCAAUGUGGACCCACAGAGAGAACAGCAGCAAGAUUUAUUGGAAAGAGAUAAAGAAUAAGGCUUCCACACUGUGGGAGGGGACCGGAGGGGGUUGCCACUGCUGGCUCCGGCAGCCUGCUUUUAUUCUCUUAUCUGGCCCCACCCACAUCCUGCUGAUUGGUAGAGCCCAGUGGUCUGUUUUGACAGGGUGCUGAUUGGUGCAUUUACAAUCCCUGAGCUAGACACAAAGGUUCUCCAAGUCCCCACCAGAUUAGCUAGAUACAGAGUGUCCAUUGGUGCAUUCACAAACCCUGACCUAGACACAGGGUGCUGAAUGGUGUGUUUACAAACCUUAAGCUAGAUACAGAGUGCCGAUUGGUGUUUUUACAAUCCCUUAGCUAGACAUAAAGGUUCUCCACGUCCCCACCAGACUCAGGAGCCCAGCUGGCUUCACCCAGUGGAUCCCGCCCAGGGGCUGCAGGUGGAGCUGCCUGCCAGUCCCGCGCCGUGUGCCUGCACUCCUUAGCCCUUGGGUGGUGGAUGGGACUGGGCGCCGUGGAGCAAGAGGCGGCGCUCAUCCCGGAGGCUCCGGCGGCACAGGAGCCCACGGAGAGGAGGAGGCUCAGGCAUGGCGGGCUGCAGGUCCCAAGCCCUGCCCCGCGGGAAGGCAGCUAAGGGCUGGCGAGAAAUUGAGCACAGCAGCUGCUGGCCCAGGUGCUAAGCCCCUCAGUGCCUGGGGCCGGUGGGGCCGGCUGGCCGCUCAGAGUGCGGGGUCCGCCCAGCCCACGCCCACCUGGAACUUGCGCUGGCCCGCAAGCACCGCGUGCAGACCCAGUUCCCUCCCGCGCCUCUCCCUCCACACCUCCCAGCAAGCUGAGGGAGCCGGCUCCGGCCUUGGCCAGC